UACGGGGGAUGCAAGCGUUAUCCGGAUUUAUUGGGUUUAAAGGGUGCGUAGGCUGUGAGGUAAGUCAGCGGUGAAAUGCCCCCGCUCAACGGGGUGAAGUGCCAUUGGUACUGCCUUGCUGGAAUGCGGAUGCCGUGGGAGGAAUGUGUGGUGUAGCGGUGAAAUGCAUAGAUAUCACACAGAACACCGAUUGCGAAGGCAUCUCACGAAUCCGCGAUUGACGCUGAUGCACGAAAGCGUGGGUAUCAAACAGG
rnacentral:rRNA from 1 species